CACAACCCACAAAUUAUAUGCUGGAACGUGAGAGGAUUAAACAAUCCAGCUAAGAGGAAAGUAGUUAGAGAGUUCAUUGCCUCGUUGAGAGUCAACGUGGUGUGUUUACAGGAGACCAAAUUGGACACUGUGGAUCAAUUUUUAGUUUUGCAAUGCAUUGGGCCAUCUUUUGAUAGUUUUUCUUAUUUGCCUGCGGUGGAAACACGUGGAGGUAUCUUACUUGCUUGGGACUGCUCGUGCCUGACGGUGGAUAGCAUACAGAUCGAUACUAAUUUCCUAACAGGCAAAGUGAGAAAACUGGAUGGUAACGAGUGGUGGAUCUCGGUGGUGUAUGCCCCCCCAGGGAGAUGA
rnacentral:rRNA from 1 species